UACCAGCACCCCCGAGUGGUCGGGACGUUUUAUUGGGGCCUAAAGCAUCCGUAGCCGGUUCUACAAGUCUUCCGUUAAAUCCAGCUGCUUAACAGAUGGGCUGCGGAAGAUACUAUGGAGCUAGGAGGCGGGAGAGGCAAGCGGUACUCGAUGGGUAGGGGUAAAAUCCGUUGAUCCAUUGAAGACCACCAGUGGCGAAGGCGGCUUGCCAGAACGCGCUCGACGGUGAGGGAUGAAAGCUGGGGGGAGCAAACCGG
rnacentral:rRNA from 1 species